CAGGGGACGUGGCUGAGGCACAAAGUGUGGCCCCUGAAGGGUGGCAGCCCGGGUUCUUUGAACCCAUUUGCUCAAUGGUGGCUCCGCCCCAGGAUCUUUCCCAGUCCUGCCUGUUGAUGCUGGCAGGGGUUAAAACUGUGGGCUUCUGCAUGCAAAGCAGAUUCUCUACCACUGAGCUAAGGAUGCUCUUAGAUGAUGGGGAGCUGAACAGCCACAAGAAUGUAUACAGCAGGCUCAGAAAUGACUGCAAGGGAAGGAGAGCUGGUCUUGUGAUAAGUCUGAGAAGUCAAAGAGAAUCUGCUGGAACAAGUCAGAGCUGGAGGUUGCAGAAGGAAGAGAGUCUGGAAGUCUGCUAGAGUGAAUCCCGUGAAUCCUUGCAGAAAGUGAGCAGCCAGUAAGAAGAGAAGCCUUCCAGCUGAAAUCACUGGAAGAAAAGGAAGAACCAGGCUGGACUGAGUCCUAGACCUAUGCCGUAAUCAGAAGAAUCUGCUCAGCAAGCCCGAAACUGAGAAGUAAGAAAGUACAAGAGGACUCUGAGUAGGGACCAGUAUAGAGCCAGGUAGUGGUCACCACCCAACCACUUCCCUAGAAGAUGGGAUGUUUUUAUGAGGACAUGGCUGAAUGUUCCAACUUCUGUAGCAGGAAAUCGUACCUCCAGCGAUGCUUUAGAAUAUCUACAAAAUCCUAGUGGUGUGGCUCUGACACCUAGCACUUCUCACUGGGUUUCUUAAAAACAGAGGAAAACUAGCUGGGUAAAAAUUUAAUGUUAUGUUUUUCAGAUGUAAAAUAAAGCUGAUUGCAUCAAA